rnacentral:rRNA from 1 species
UAGGGAAUCUUCGGCAAUGGACGGAAGUCUGACCGAGCAACGCCGCGUGAGUGAAGAAGGUUUUCGGAUCGUAAAGCUCUGUUGUUAGAGAAGAACGUUGGUAGGAGUGGAAAAUCUACCAAGUGACGGUAACUAACCAGAAAGGGACGGCUAACUACGUGCCAGCAGCCGCGGUAAUACGUAGGUCCCGAGCGUUGUCCGGAUUUAUUGGGCGUAAAGCGAGCGCAGGCGGUUCUUUAAGUCUGAAGUUAAAGGCAGUGGCUUAACCAGUGGACGCUUUGGAAACUGGAGGACUUGAGUGCAGAAGGGGAGAGGGGAAUUCCAUGUGUAGCGGUGAAAUGCGUAGAUAUAUGGAGGAACACCGGUGGCGAAAGCGGCUCUCUGGUCUGUAACUGACGCUGAGGCUCGAAAGCGUGGGGAGCAAACAGG